rnacentral:rRNA from 1 species
GCGUUACUCGGAAUUACUGGGCGUAAAGCGUGCGUAGGUGGUUCGUUAAGUCUGAUGUGAAAGCCCCGGGCUCAACCUGGGAACUGCAUUGGAUACUGGCGAUCUGGAGUGCGGUAGAGGGUGGCGGAAUUCCCGGUGUAGCAGUGAAAUGCGUAGAUAUCGGGAGGAACAUCCGUGGCGAAGGCGGCCACCUGGACCAGCACUGACACUGAGGCACGAAAGCGUG